rnacentral:pre_miRNA from 1 species
GAAAUACUCCCUCCGUCCCAAAAUAAGUGUCUCAACUUUGUACAAAGCUCAAGACACUUAUUUUGGGACGGAGGGAGUAGAAA